rnacentral:lncRNA from 1 species
GGGCCUCGGGUCCCAGCCUCCUGCGUGAUACCGUGUGCCCGGUCUCUGCAGGUCUCAGGAGCUCCACCUGCGCCCCGAGUCCCACUCGUACCUGCCCGAGCUGGGGAAGUCUGAGAUGGAGUUCAUGGAGAGCAAGCGCCCGCGCCUGGAGCUGCUGCCCGAACCCCUGCUGCGGCCGUCCGCGCUGCUGGCCACAGGCCAGCCCAGCGGCUCUGAGGACCUCACCAAGGAGCGCAGUCUGACGGGCAAGCUGGAGCCUGUGUCGCCCCCCAGCCCCCCGCACGCCGACCCCGAGUUGGAGCUGGUGCCCCCCCGACUGUCGAAGGAGGAGCUGAUCCAGAACAUGGACCGCGUGGACCGCGAGAUCAGCAUGGUGGAGCAGCAGAUCUCCAAGCUGAAGAAGAAACAGGUGUGGGUGGGCCCGGGGGGCCUGGGCGGUCACCAGUGUAGUUGGCAGGCUCCCCAC